rnacentral:miRNA from 1 species
AUGCUUAUGUGACGUGCACUC